UCAAACUUGGUCAUUUAGAGGAAGUACAAGUCGUAACAAGGUAUCCGUAGGUGAACCUGCGGAUGGAUCAUUACCAAAGGAUUCUAUUAAUCCCGACGUACUAUGUGAACUGUAUAGAAUUGACGGGUCAGUGUGUGUGUGUGUGUGUGUGUGUUUGUUUGUGCUCUACAUCAUCCAUGCAUAUAUAAUAUAUGCACACGCACACGCAUGCUGACCGGUACCCUAUCAUACGUAUAUUUGUUAAACUGAAAUCUUUACCUUUAGUAAAAUAAACUAAAGACAACUUUUAGCAACGGAUCUCUUGGCUCUCGCAUCGAUGAAGAACGCAGC
rnacentral:misc_RNA from 1 species